rnacentral:lncRNA from 1 species
AGCACUGGGAGGGUUGGUGUUGCUGCUCAGCACGGGGGCUCAGAAGCCCUCCCCACGCCCCCAUUAUCCUCAGCUUCCCCAGGCUCCAUCCAGCAGGAGGGAGCAGACGGUGGGCCCUGCCUCCUGGCCUUGAGACCAGAAGACGGCCCAGGGUUUGAAGCAGGUGAAAGUCUGAGCUACUUCUGCAAGUGCAGCCUUUGUUCCAAGGAAGCAGGGCUGCCCCGCACCCCGGUGUGCAGGGGGGCAGCUGGCUUUUCCCGUCUGCAGAGCUCCGUCUCCCCAGGAGGGGCGUCCUGUCUCGGGCCAGCAUGACCGCCGUCUCCCUGCUGCUGAAGGGGAGGGCCCCCUUUCUGUGGGCCUUGGCCUCUGUCUGUCAAAUGACGACGAGUUCUGUGGAUAGAACAAGGUUAGAAACGCCACCUGACAGAGCGGCCUGCAAUGCCCAUCACUGUCCUGGAGCCAGACAGGUGGAGGAGAGACCUCAGGGCUGGGCCGGGUCAGCUGACUCCAGAGUGGACACCAGGCAAUGCCCAGGGAGGGGACUCCUGGAAGAAGCCGGCCUCUUGACUUAGGGUUAAAUGUCCUCUGGUUUGAAGACACAAGAGUCUGCAUUUGCCCAAUACUUGGGGUUCUCAGCUUUUCUCCAACCUGGUCAUCACAGAGUGACCAGCAUUGGCCUGGCAAUGGUGCCUUCACAUGGGAGCGAAAAGGACCAGCCUGAGGUGAGGAGGAUGGGUCCUGUGUCCCCACUCUCCCCUGAGCCCGGGGCGUUGCAGUGGCCUUGACCUUCAGCCCUGGGCUUCUUCCUACCCGAGUCCCCGGCAGUGUCCCUCAGCCCAGCCCGGCCCGUUCAGCCUUUGUCUGGGGCCAGUCACUGAGGGUGGCUUCCCCGGGACGUCCCGGGCUCCCUUGAAGGAGCUGCUCUCAGCGCGAUUCUGCGGACGGAUGGCGGCAUCUGUGCUGAGCCCUCCACUGUCUUGGGCUCUUCUAAUAUCACACUGAGCACUGGGCGUUGUUCGUCCCACUCUACGGAUGAGAAAGUCGGGGCUCAUGUAGGUGGAGGAAACUGCCUGAGCACCAGAACCCGGGGAGGCGCCGAGGCUGGACCGAGCCCACCCUGGCUGUGCCUGUGCCGAGCUGAGCCUGCUGUGGCUGUGUUGCUGCACAUUUACCAGGCAGGGACUCAGUUUCCCCUGGGGUACAACUGAGGGCUGGGCUGGGGGAUCACAAAGAGGGAGGCAGCACGAGGUGCUUGUGGGGGCUCUGGGCUGCACGUUCCAGCAGGAGCAGGGGCGACGGCCCACGUCUCUGAACAGGCUCUUUUAGUGGUGCUGGGCGGGACCCGGGUGUGCCCCUCCCGUGGGCCAGAGCGACUCUAGGGCCCAGGCCUGGACUCUUGGGCUGCAGGUGAGAGCCAGGCGGCGGGGCAGGGAGUCAGAGGCAGAGGCAGGGGCGAGGCAGCUCCUCCCGGCUGCACCCCGAGACACUGGAGGAAGCUGUCUCUGAGCUCUUCCUCCUGCUGUCCAGACCAGGCGCUGAAAUCAAAGACAGAACUGAUACUGACCACAAAACCUCUCAGAGCCACUUCAUUGGAGAAGAUUAGGGUCAGGCAGCUGCGGGCAGCUCACAGCCGGCACGGGGCUUCCCUCUGGGAGGCUGGGAUUUGAUCUCCCUGUGCAGGAUUUUCCAUAGGAAGAGUCAGUCCCGUGCGCCUCCUUUAAGCCUUAACCAAAGCGGGGUUCCUCCAUCAGGCCUGCGGGGGCCCAAGGCCCCCAGCUGUUGCCCGUGUGCACACCUGGAACCACGUCUAAGUCCUUGCCGUCCAGAGGCCUUUUCUCACCACCCACGCUCAUCCUCAGCCCUUCCUGCCUUCAGCCAUGCCCGAGGCUCUGCCCUGGGUAAUAGGUCUGCCCUGGGUGGAGGCGCUGCCCUAGGUGGUGGGUCUGCACUGGGUGGCGGGUCUGGAGUGGCCAAGGCAGGUGCGGCCCUCCUGGGCCCUUCAGUCGGCUGGGGCGAGAGUUAACCAACAGUCUCCAUGGCGGGGAACAGGAGGGACCUGUCCCGUGAGAGGGGAGUCAGGGAGGACUCUUGGGAAGAUGGCCUUUCAUUCAAGGCCUGAAUGAGAAUCAGCCAGAUGUGCUGGGGCCAGGCAGGUGGGGACGAGUGCGCGGGGGGGGGCUCAGCAUCUUCUAGAACCAACCACACACCUGCAAGAGAGAAGACAGGGUAGACCCCUGCGGCCCCCUGGGGCUGAGACGGCUUUAGGAUGGUACUCCAGUUGCCCCCAUCCUUUCCCGAGACCCUCCUGGACCUGAGCUCCGGGAUGCAGGAGCGCCCCGGUGUUCCGUCCUUGUCCUCACGGGACUCAGAGCCUCCCUCCACGAGAUGCUGCUGGGCUCACCUGUCCUGGUGGUUUUCCUGAGCCAGGAAUAGAGUCUUCACCUGACCUAACCUGAGGCCAUGCCCAGGCCACUCUGAAGUGAGAUCCGACGGCCUGGGGAGGUUCAGGGGCUCAUAGGUGGCUGCGCCCAACCCUGCCACACUUCUCCUGGACCUAUCAGAGGUGCAUGCUGUGGUCAGUGCCUGGAGACAGAGCAGCUCCAGGCCACCCACCCUUCCGGUCUGAAGCGUCUCACCCCACACAAGGCCCCAGCACCACAAGCCCAUUCUCCCCGUUCCUUGGAGCAGACCCUGGUGGCAGCAUCUACAGGGGGGUCCCAGGCAGCCUCACCGCAGGCACCACGGAGGCACGGAAGAGCUGCCUUGCGCCAGCACAGGGCACGCAGGGACGUCUGGGUGCCCCGGCUGGCAGCCACUCUCCCCGCAGGCAGGGUCUAGUGUAUCCGUGUGCGAUGUCUGUGAUUGGGCUUUGUGCUGGGAGCGUAAUGAGGAGCCUCCCCGGCCUCCCCAGACCCCGUCGCUGAUGGGGGAAGGACACGUGGCCAUCAUAACACAUACAUCACCAAACGUGGGCUUCCAGCGCGGAGGAAGCAAAUUAAACGCUGCAAACGAGCGUCAGGGUAAUUAUCCCCACCAGGGCUGGGACAGGGUCCAGGCCUCCCUGAGAACGGGGCAGACGCAUGUUGAGCGCUUAAGAGACGGGGAACUGGGGCAAAGGUGCUGGUGCCACAACAGCCCAGACACAGAGGAGGGUCGAGGCCGCCCCACACCCCCAUCUGCUGCGAGGAAGAGAACGAUUUGGAGAGGAGCUGAAAGUCAAGUGAGUGCAGCCCAUGAGGGGAAGCUCGUUGGUUUAAUUCCAGAUGGUUAGGAGGCUCAGAGACACCAUCGGAGCCGUGAAUAUUCAUGAGCCGGCAGCCUUGCCCAGGUAGCCGAGGCCUGGCUGGUGGCUGCGUUGGCUCCGCUCAUUUUUGAAACGACACAGCACUUCUGGAUUGGAGACGUGAUGAGCUAUUUGUAGACAUGUCCUUGUUGAUAAGGAAACGGCACUGGUUGACAGAACUCUCCACCCUCCGGCGCGGCUGGGCUCUUCUCCCGGGGGUGGGGCGGGGGCAUUGGGGGCCCGGGUUUGGGGAAUGGGGCAUCAAGAAGCUGUGAGGGUAGAGAAGGGCCCUGGGCUGGGUCAGGCUGAAAUGGGUCCGUCUCCCCAGCCCUUGGCUCUGUCAUCAUGGGAGUAACAGAAUAAUAAUGUCACCCCAU